rnacentral:lncRNA from 1 species
UCUGUGAAGUCACUCCUCCCCCACUUUCAGUCCAUGUGCUUCAGGUAGAUUUGACUCCACCCAAGACUGGAAUAUGUGGCUUGGAUCAAGCUAAUCAGCUCAUCACAUUGUCCUGUUCAUGAUCAAUGAGAUUCUGACUGGGAAUGUGGUACCAAGAUCUUCCUAUCUCCCACUGCAUAGGAAGCUGGCAGGAUAGAGCCCUGGGAGCUGCUGGCAGUCACCUUAUGCCCAGAGGCUUUUAGCCCAUCAGAGGAUACUUUACGUUGUCCUGUUCUCUUUGGUGACAGAAAGCAAACACAACAAGGAGCCCUCACCUUACCCAUGAAGACAAAGAGCCAGCCGGGGAGGCAGAGAAGACGGACGACAAGUGCCACUGCCUAUGCUGCUCUCCUUUCCUCUCUGCAUCUUCGCAGCAGUAACCAGGAUGAACAGAGAGCUGGGGUCUCACUGAGCUUGGUAACCAGGUGCCUGCAGGGACAGUUGGGCUUCCUGCCCUUCUUUCUGAGCAGUCCGAGUCCUCCCCUAGUCAUGGAUUCCAGGUCAGAGAACCACAAGGGGACGUGUGUUGUUGGUGAGUAAAUUCCUCUGAAAUAGGGAGAGGUAUGGAUGGAAGGUCACAUUUGUCUG